CAGGAAGGGAAAAGAGGGUCAAAACCCUAGUUUCUUCAAAAUCUUCAAAUUGAAAGGCAAGAUGAAGCUUUAACUCAUAACCGAGCAUAGAUUAAUGAUCACCUUCACAAGGGGAUCGCAAGGAAUCAUGUCGAGACGGAAUCAAGCACGGAAGGCUAACGGGUCAAGAAGUGGCGAAGAAACAAAUAUGAAUACGGAUGCACGAGGAACGAGAAUAUCGGAUUCUUACGAAAUUUAAGCUCUACCUGAAAUAAGAGGAUGAGUGCCACACGGACUUCUUCUGCUACUUAGAAAGUGAAGCGGACGUAGAUCGAGUCAAGAGCAAGGAUUGCACGGAUAGAUCGGUCAUAUAAUUGAAGUGUAUAACGUCUAGAAAUGUAAAUUUUAGUAUGAAUGUUGUGAAUUCUUUUAUAGAACGUUUAACAUUUUUAGCAUUUGGAACCUUCGCGAAAGUAAUGUCGUUAAUAAGGAAAUAAAUUUUAAAGC